rnacentral:rRNA from 1 species
CAGUAGCCGCGGGAAUACAGAGGGUGCGAGCGUUAAUCGGAUUUACUGGGCGUAAAGCGUGCGUAGGCGGCUUCUUAAGUCGGAUGUGAAAUCCCUGAGCUUAACUUAGGAAUUGCAUUCGAUACUGGGAAGCUAAAGUAUGGGAGAGGAUGGUAGAAUUCCAGGUGUAGCGGUGAAAUGCGUAGAGAUCUGGAGGAAUACCGAUGGCGAAGGCAGCCAUCUGGCCUAAUACUGACGCUGAGGUACGAAAGCAUGGGGAGCAAACAGGAUUAGAUACCCGUGUAGUCCCUGUCUCUUAUAU